UUGCGGUUAAAAAGCUCGUAGUUGGAGUUCUGCCAGGUGACGCUCGUCCGCCCAAGUGGUGUGUACAGGGCGUGCAUCUGGCCCUUUCAAGGGGAACGUGUCUGCACUUCAUUGUGUGGUGCGAGAUCCUUGACUUUUACUUUGAGGAAAUAAGAGUGUUCCAAGCAGGCUCUCGUCGUGCAUAGCUCAGCAUGGAAUAAUAGCAUUGGACUUCGUUUCUACGCUGUUGGUUGCAAGAAGCGAGGUAAUGAUGAAGAGGGAUAGUUGGGGGCAUUCGUAUUUAACUGUCAGAGGUGAAAUUCUUAGAUUUGUUAAAGACGGACUACUGCGAAAGCAUCUGCCAUGGAUGUUUUCAUUGAUCAAGAACGAAAGUUAGGGGAUCGAAGACGAUCAGAUACCGUCCUAGUCUUAACUAUACACCAUGCCGGCUAGAGAUCGGAGGUCGUUCAAUUUGAGACACCUUCAGCAUCUUGAGAGA
rnacentral:rRNA from 1 species